rnacentral:siRNA from 1 species
UAAGGCGAUUUCGAGGGCCGAU